UGGGGAAUAUUGCACAAUGGGCGAAAGCCUGAUGCAGCGACGCCGCGUGCGGGAUGAAGGCCUUCGGGUUGUAAACCGCUUUUGAUUGGGAGCAAGCGAGAGUGAGUGUACCUUUCGAAUAAGCACCGGCUAACUACGUGCCAGCAGCCGCGGUAAUACGUAGGGUGCAAGCGUUAUCCGGAAUUAUUGGGCGUAAAGAGCUCGUAGGCGGUUUGUCGCGUCUGGUGUGAAAGUCCAUCGCUUAACGGUGGAUCUGCGCCGGGUACGGGCAGGCUAGAGUGCGACAGGGGAGACUGGAAUUCCCGGUGUAACGGUGGAAUGUGUAGAUAUCGGGAAGAACACCAAUGGCGAAGGCAGGUCUCUGGGUCGUCACUGACGCUGAGGAGCGAAAGCGUGGGGAGCGAACAGGAUUAGAUACCCUGGUAGUCCACGCCGUAAACGGUGGAUGCUGGAUGUGGGGCCCCAUUC
rnacentral:rRNA from 1 species